GCCGGAAUGAACUUCGAUGGUUCGGAGUGCAGGCUUCAAACCUGUAGACGCUUAGCGGCGUAAUGGUUCGAUUCCAUCUUUCCGGU
rfam:Strongyloides stercoralis strain PV0001 genome assembly, scaffold: SSTP_scaffold0000001